AUGAUUAGUAACAUUUGCAGCAUCAUGUCGUGGAACGUUAGGGGCAUCAACGCUCCAGCUAAGCGCUCAGCAAUCUGUGAGGUGGCCACAACGCUCAAGACAGCAAUCCUGACGCUGCAAGAGACGAAGGUGGAAGUGUGGACGACGGGUAUAGCAAAGGAAAUCGGCGGCCCAAUGCUGCAAGGCUGUGCAGUGCUACCUGCUAUGGGCACAAGAGGGGGAGCUGCCAUUUUUUGGAACAAAGAG
rnacentral:rRNA from 1 species